rnacentral:lncRNA from 1 species
AUAACCUGACCCUUCAUUUUUAGUAUUUGUGUUCUAGUUCAUGAUUUAGUAUUUGGUUAAGUUGGUAUUACACUUUUUACUUGAUUAGAUGGUUCGGGUUGAGACUAGAUGGUGUCCGACUAGUUGGAACGUUUAAGCUACUGUAUCAAAGUUUUCUGGUGUCUGGUGCAUCACGAUCGCGAAUCAGAUACCUGAUCGCAAAGAGUUAUUGUGAGUUAACUGAUCAAGGGGAGUUUGUUCAAUCCAGGUGCUAUACUGUACAGGUUCUUGUGAAUGAUUGAUUCGUGGUUUCUUUGAAACCUAUCCGCCACAAGUUUCCUCUCUUCGUUUCUGUUUUUCAUUUUCUAAAAAAAUUCCUUCUCUUCUGCAGGAGAGAACUUGGACAUUGAGCUUGCUG